AUCUUGAUGUAGUCAUUGUGUGCAAUGAAUAUGGGACCAAAUACUAAACAUUUGACAACUUUAACCCACUAAGUGAUAUGUGUCCAAAUACUUAAAAUCUUCAAAUGGGGAGGGGGGGGGAACUAGACAUAUAUAAAGUGCUUUCAUUCCUAAACGGUAAAUCAGACAAUUCUGAAAAUACCAUGAAUUAAAAGGUGACAUUCUGUACUGUAUUCUGUACUGUAACUGUAGAAAAAGCCCAUGGAGUUGGUGGAAUAAUCCUUUAAUUCACUGCCAUUUACUCAGCUGGGCCAGGGGCGCUUUAAUUAGGUCAGGUGGAAAUAUCCGACAGAUCUCCACUCCAUAAAAGGAGUAAAUCACCAUCGCCUGAUCGCGCUGCUUUCUCUUCCUUCACUCUGUGCGUCCAUGAAUCCACCAAUACUUCAUCGAGAAACGAACAUCCUCCUAGCUGACUUAGAAGACACGGAGUGUGCAAAUCCGGCUCUGCCUGGUGCAUCACACAGUUGGAGUGUGAGGAAGGAACUCUCACAGGAUAGGUGAAGGGAGUCCAGGCCUGAGAUCGUAGAUUCUCUGCUGGCUGCAGAGCAUGCUUCUCAGAAAAUAUGUUAGUCAUACAAUUUGAACAGGGCUAUUCUGCGAUGUAGAGACUGUCUGCCGAAACAGCUUUACCCUCGAGGACUGCGAUGUCUCUACACAUGCAACGUUCCCCUUGCACAACAGAGAGUCCAUGAUUGAGGGAUUCUACCUGCCCCUUCCUCCAACUACAGCCAUAUCUCUCCACAGUCAUGAUUGUUUCUUACCAUUGGACGUACCAGAGGUGAUAUGUGGUUGCCUGACUAGCACCAUCCAUGUUGGCCCUGGGAAACAUAUCAUCCUUGUGGGAAUAAAUGGUCGCUACAAUGUCACAGUGCCUGUGCUGACCUGCACAACCUGUCUUAUCACCUGGACAGCAAACUUGGCAGAUCUGAUAAAGAAUGGGUACUGGCCUGCCACUGUCAACUGUGACACCAUAUAACUGGUAGAUCUGUUCAGCUCUUGAGGAGCUGAAAGUGUUAGCCCCAGGAAUGUCUGUCUGGUGUUUGUGUGGGUUUUGGAGCAGCAAACUGACUUCUUUGGCAGGGUAACAAUAAAUUAUACUCAGCUUUACCAAUGUAUGACUACAAGUUAACUAUGUUACAUUUUGUUUCAACACUUUGUAAUAUAACUUUAUUUCCAGUACUACAACUGUUAACUUCAGGUCUCUUGCUGCAGUAUGUUAGCCUCCUGCACCACUGUCCUGCCAUGCCCCUUAUCUGUGCCCCUCUUGCAUCCAAUAUUUCCUGUUUUUUACAGCAUAAGUACUCAUCCUACUUUUGCAUUUGCUUUCACCUGCUUUGCUGGCAAUGCUAUGCACUGGCCCUGCUUUAACUCAAAUCCAGUCAGCCAUAGUGAAUUAUAAUAUGUUUUGUUUAUAGUGUUGUUGUACGUUAUUUCAUGUCUUUCCCAUAUGUAUUUUUCCUUACAAGAACGGAAUGUUCUGUGGGGACACUUUUUAAAAAAGCUUCUUUGAGUGGACGUACUGCCGCUCUGAAAAUGAUCAGGUCUGUGAUAUACAGUACUUUGACUGCCCAGCCUGUUCACCCAGCAUGCUUGCAGUGUCAGUGGAUGGGAACAAGAAACUGUAUCGAUUCAAAAAAGGGGCUGAUGACAAAGGAUUCUUUGAUGGUGUAUUUAUCUGCAAGGAUGAGGAUGUCUGACUUUGAACAAUGUCCACACAAAGACUAAACAUGUACUGUGGAUCUUCUAAUCUGUGAAAUAGGACUGGUCUUGGGCCAUCUGACUCAAAGGCAGACUAGUUAUACACUAUUCCAAUAAAAAACCCACUUUGGAGAGAUGGUAAUCCUCUCUCUUCAAGUCCAGGGUCGUUACACCACUCCCUCUGUUCAGAAAUGCAACACACUUUACAAGUGCAUCUUUUUGACAGUCUCCAACUUCUGAUCUCCUUUGUAGCGAACACAGGGGGUAGCUCAGCGCCCUCAGCUAGGUUUUAAAAACCUAACCACUGUCACGUUAACACCCCCCCCCAAUUAUUUUUUUCAUUUUUCGACCUAUACUCUUCUACUUGUCUAGGGUUAUGGAAUAGGGUUAUGGAAAAGGGCUAUGUGGAGCAUCCCAGUGCACAGCAGCUAAAGAGUCAAGGAAAACAAACGACAAACUUGAUGAAGAGGGACUCGAAGUUGCCGUCUGCCGCCACGGAAUACUUCUGAGGAGCCUCAACAUGAUGCGUGGAGAUAUUUGCAUACCCACUGUUCUUGCAGAAGGAAUUGUCUGGCAGCAGGAACAAACAAUUCAUGUGUACGGAUGUGAUCUGCAAAUUUUGUCCAUACCUAACCAAAGUUUGCCUUCAUUGUCCAGAGCUCGCCACUCUUCUAGACAUGAAGCCACUUCUUUCCGUCAUGCAUGCAAAGGCACAUCGUUUGAAAUGCGAGAUUAAGUGGGGAGGACGGAAUCAGGAAGGAGCUGGCACAACUCUGGGGAAGGAAGUGGAACAAUGGAACAGUUUCUUGUCGAGGGCUGGAAUCUGUUCCAAGAAAAUGUCCAAAGGAGCAAGAACCGACAUGCUAACCAUCCAGGCCGUGGGACAGAAGGAAGAACAACCUGCACAGAGCAUUGUUCCCAAGAUAUUUGAAGACAACAGCAAAAAUCAACAGGAGGAGACCUAGACUCAAAUGUUUAAGAGUGAUUUGGGUGUAGGCGAUGAGACUCUGGACAACGGAAGUUCAGCAAUGGGCUAAUAGAGAGGAAACAGCUUAGAACAUGGAUGGUCCCCAGGUACUACAGAGAACAAUUGAAGUCCUCUUACUUAGCAUCAAACAAAGGAAACAGAACCUCUUCCUUCAGACAGAUGGAUGCAAGAAAAGACACCCUCUGCGCAGAAAGAUAUUGGAAGAAAAGACCAAAUUGACAGCUGCCAUAGAGGAGUACAACACCCUUGUACUAGGUUCAGCAAUACCAUCUGCAGAUGAGAUCCUUUCCGCAGACCUUCAUGCAUGGCCUUGGGAGCUGCAUGGACAAACUGACUUACUCAAAGAAAAUGGCCUUUGACCAGGUGAUGCUCCUGAGAUGGCUGAAGGAGGAGGAGUUAAUUGUCCUAAAGGAAGUCAAGCAGCACUGGGAAAGCCUAAAGAGGGAAUCGGAGAAUGUGCAAGACUUUGCUUCACAUGUGGCACUUGACCUAAGCAGGCAAAGCUGGCAAUUGAAUCAGUCGGAAGCUGGGAGCAGAGGUCUCUUCUCCAUGCUUCAGAGGAGAGUCAGCAGCCUCCGAAGACACCAGGACUCUGUCAAACUGAUAUACAGCAAAGCUAUGGGCCAAGACACCUCCCUCCUAGAGACGACCUCCUGGAAGAGGACAUCUACGACAGCAUCCACUACAGCUCUGAUGACGAGGAAUCUCUCACAGACUGAAGGUGUUCGUUUGGGUGGGCGCAGUUUGCACUGGGUGAAAAGUGAUUCCAUUCGUUUUGCAUAUGUGCUUCAUCUGCCUUCCUAAGGAAAAAUAGUUUGAACAUUUUAUGGAAAAUAAACUUUUAUGUUUCUUCCUUGUUGACAAUGUGAUCAAGUGGCACAUACUUGAGAAGGGCGCUCAUCUGUUACUGCUUUUGCCCGGUUACAUGACCAGGUCAGAUGCACCCCUUUAAAUGGCCAGUCUGCAGUUGCUACAUCCACUUUUGGAUUCUUGAAG
rnacentral:lncRNA from 1 species